rnacentral:rRNA from 1 species
AAAUAGAUCCUGAAGCCGUAUGCUUACAAAAAGUAGGAGCCCGCAAGGGUGACUGCGUACCUUUUGUAUAAUGGGUCAGCGACUUACAUUCAGUGGCAAGGUUAACCGAAUAGGGAAGCCGUAGAGAAAUCGAGUCCGAAUAGGGCGAAUUAGUCGCUGGGUGUAGACCCGAAACCAAGUGAUCUAUCCAUGGGCAGGAUGAAGGUGCCGUAACAGGUACUGGAGGUCCGAACCGACUAAUGUUGCAAAAUUAGCGGAUGACCUGUGGAUGGGGGUGAAAGGCUAAACAAACUUGGAAAUAGCUGGUUCUCUCCGAAAACUAUUUAGGUAGUGCCUCAAGUAUUACCGUUCGGGGGUAGAGCACUGUUUUGGCUAGGGGGUCAUGGCGACUUACCAAACCAAUGCAAACUCCGAAUACCGACGAGUACAGCUUGGGAGACAGAGCACCGGGUGCUAACGUCCGGACUCAAGAGGGAAACAACCCAGACCGCCAGCUAAGGUCCCUAAAAUUGGCUAAGUGGGAAACGAAGUGGGAAGGCUAAAACAGUCAGGAUGUUGGCUUAGAAGCAGCCAUCAUUUAAAGAAAGCGUAAUAGCUCACUGAUCGAGUCGUCCUGCGCGGAAGAUGUAACGGGGCUAAGCCAGUUACCGAAGCUGCGGAUUUGCAAUUUAUUGCAAGUGGUAGGAGAGCGUUCUGUAAGCCUGUGAAGGUGCGUUGUAAAGCGUGCUGGAGGUAUCAGAAGUGCGAAUGCUGACAUGAGUAGCGUUAAAGGGGGUGAAAAGCCCCCUCGCCGUAAGCGCAAGGUUUUCUACGCAACGUUCAUCGGCGUAGAGUGAGUCGGCCCCUAAGGCGAGGCAGAGAUGCGUAGUUGAUGGGAAACAGGUCAAUAUUCCUGUACCGAUGUGUAGUGCGAUGUGGGGACGGAGAAGGUUAGCUCAGCAGACUGUUGGAUAUGUCUGUUCAAGCCUGUAGUCGUGCCUGGUAGGUAAAUCCGCCGGGCUUAGAUGAGGGGUGAUAACGAGGAUGCUUGCAUCCGAAGUGAGUGAUACCCUGCUUCCAGGAAAAGCCACUAAGCUUCAGCUACACACGACCGUACCGCAAACCGACACUGGUGCGCGAGAUGAGUAUUCUAAGGCGCUUGAGAGAACUCAGGAGAAGGAACUCGGCAAAUUGACACCGUAACUUCGGAAGAAGGUGUGCCUUUAGUAUGUGAACCUGAACAAGGGGAGCAGAAUGAGGCCUCAGAGAAUCGGUGGCUGCGACUGUUUAAUAAAAACACAGCACUCUGCAAACACGAAAGUGGACGUAUAGGGUGUGACGCCUGCCCGGUGCUGGAAGAUUAAAUGAUGGGGUGCAAGCUCUUGAUUGAAGUCCCGGUAAACGGCGGCCGUAACUAUAACGGUCCUAAGGUAGCGAAAUUCCUUGUCGGGUAAGUUCCGACCUGCACGAAUGGCGUAACGAUGGCCACACUGUCUCCUCCUGAGACUCAGCGAAGUUGAAAUGUUUGUGAUGAUGCAAUCUCCCCGCGGAAAGACGGAAAGACCCCAUGAACCUUUACUGUAGCUUUGUAUUGGACUUUGAACAGAUCUGUGUAGGAUAGGUGGGAGGCUUUGAAGCCGGAACGCUAGUUUCGGUGGAGCCAACGUUGAAAUACCACCCUGGUGUGUUUGAGGUUCUAACCUAGGUCCAUUAUCUGGAUCGGGGACAGUGCAUGGUAGGCAGUUUGACUGGGGCGGUCUCCUCCCAAAGCGUAACGGAGGAGUUCGAAGGUACGCUAGUUACGGUCGGACAUCGUGAUGAUAGUGCAAUGGCAUAAGCGUGCUUAACUGCGAGACUGACAAGUCGAGCAGAUACGAAAGUAGGACAUAGUGAUCCGGUGGUUCUGUAUGGAAGGGCCAUCGCUCAACGGAUAAAAGGUACUCUGGGGAUAACAGGCUGAUACCGCCCAAGAGUUCAUAUCGACGGCGGUGUUUGGCACCUCGAUGUCGGCUCAUCUCAUCCUGGGGCUGUAGCCGGUCCCAAGGGUAUGGCUGUUCGCCAUUUAAAGAGGUACGUGAGCUGGGUUUAAAACGUCGUGAGACAGUUUGGUCCCUAUCUUCCGUGGGCGCUG